rnacentral:tRNA from 1 species
GGGCGAUUAGCUCAGAUGGUUAGAGCGCGUCACUGAUAAUGACGAGGUCCGUGGUUCGACUCCACGAUCGCCCACCA